rnacentral:misc_RNA from 1 species
UUUUUUUUUUUUUUUUUGUUAAUUAGGAUUGUGUACUUUUCUGAAUUCUAUUACAUUUCAUUUUGUCAUGUUGCUGGUUCUUGUUAAUACUCUGGUAUAAAUGGAACUGCGGAACUGUUUAUGGAAAUUUAGAUGCAUUUGCAUAUUUGUUUAGUUUUUGCUCCAACAGCUUCUUCACAAUGUGUGAAUAAAAAUAUUUAUAGGUAAGUAGUUGAUUCAUCGCUUGUGAAGAAUUGUGCUAAGUGUGCUUAGGAUGCAUGUGCCCUUGUGCAUACAAAAUUUUGUGCACAACUGGGGAUGGAUGAA